GGCCCAUAUGCCAAACGAAGACAUCCUCUUGUGGACUCAACUGUAAUAACAGAAAUUAGAAGAUGCAUUGACCAAGGGAUUGAAUUUCAAGGCGAACUGUUAAAUUUUAGAAAAGAUGGAUCUCCCUUGAUGAAUAGACUGCGUUUGACUCCAAUAUAUGGGGAUGGUGUAGCGAUAACUCACAUUCUUGGUAUUCAGUACUUUCAGGAAGUAAACAUUGAUUUGGGUCCACUUCCAGGAUCCUUGGUGAAGGAGCCUACAAGACUAUUGGAUAGGUACCGUUCUAGUCUCUCUCUUUAUGGACCAGCCUCAGAAGGAAACCGCUCUAACAAUCAUGGGGUUUGUGGUAUACUGCAGUUGAGUGAUGAGGUCCUAGCGCUCAAAAUUCUUUCAUUGUUGACCCCAAGAGAUAUUGCAUCUGUUGGCUCUGUUUCUACACGACUUCAUGAGCUGACAAAAAAUGAAGAUCUUUGGCGUAUGGUCUGUCAGAAUGCAUGGGGUAGUGAAACAACUCGUGUGUUAGAAGCUGUGCCAGGAGCUAAGAGACUGGGUUGGGGUAGAUUGGCUA
rnacentral:misc_RNA from 1 species